rnacentral:tRNA from 1 species
GAUUUUAUAUUUUAAAUAAAAUUUUAAUUUUGUAAAUUAAAGAUGAGUAACCUCUAAAAUCU